rnacentral:rRNA from 1 species
CCUACGGGAGACAGCAGUGGGGAAUUUUGCGCAAUGCUCGUAAGAGUGACGCAGCGACGCCGCGUGAAUGACGAAGGCCUUCGGGUCGUAAAGUUCUUUCGACAGGGAAGAAAAUGCCUAUAAGUACCUGUGUAUGUAUUGACGGUACCUGUAUAAGCAGCCCCGGCUAACUCCGUGCCAGCAGCCGCGGUAAUACGGAGGGGGCGAGCGUUGUUCGGAGGGACUGGGCGUAAAGAGCACGUAGGCGGUGUUGUAAGUCAUUAGUCAAAGACUAGAGCUCAACUUUAGUAAGGCUAGUGAUACUAUAAUACUAGAGUAUCAGAGAGGAUUGCAGAAUUCCUGGUGUAGCGGUGAAAUGCGUAGAUAUCAGGAGGAAUACCGUUAGCGAAGGCGGCAAUCUGGCUGGAAACUGACGCUGAGGUGCGAAAGCGUGGGUAGCAAACAGGAUUAGAUACCCUGGUAGUC